UUAACAUAGCUCAGUUGGUGGGGUAUGAGACUCUUAAUAUCAGGGCCGUGGGUCUGAUCCUCACACUGGGCAAAA